GGACUACAAGGGUUUCUAAUCCUGUUCGCUCCCCACGCUUUCGCUCCUCAGCGUCAGUUCCGGCCCAGACCACCGCCUUCGCCACCGGUGUUCCUCCUGAUAUCUGCGCAUUUCACCGCUACACCAGGAAUUCCGUGGUCCCCUACCGGACUCCAGCCAUGGCAGUAUCGAGUGGCAUCUCCAGGUUGAGCCUGGAGGUUUCACACCCGACUUACCAAGCCGCCUACGAGCUCUUUACGCCCAAUGAAUCCGGACAACGCUCGCCCCCUACGUAUUACCGCGGCUGCUGGCAC
rnacentral:rRNA from 1 species